AUGGACCCGGUAAUCAUAUUGAACGUUCGAUUUCACUUUGGAGGCGAGUUCAUCCGCAUUGGUCCGAAGUUGGAUUAUGUGGGAGGAGAUGAAGGUUUUUCAGAGAUUGAGAGAGACAAUCUGUCACUACAGGAGGUGAAAGGCUUUGUGAAAGAUCAUGUAGAGUUGAGGGAAUCCAUGAAGUAUUAUUUUCAUAUUCCCGGCAAAGAACUUCUCGAUGGGCUGCUUUUUCUUAACAAUGACAUUGUUUGUGUGAAGAUGUCAGAUUAUAUAUGUGUGGGUGGAGUUGCAGAUGUGUACGUGGAGUACCAUGGGGAGGAGGACAGCCAUGACACUAGGAGUGGCAGUGAUUUUGAGGACGAUGAACUUGUGUAUUUAUUUGAUUUAGAACCAGAUCAGGUCAUUAGUGCAGAACCGACUGAAGAUGAGCAUGAUGUGCUAGUGCUUGAUGAAACUGGUGUGAUCACACAAGUUUUUUCCAGCCCAGUGAAGCAACAAACA
rnacentral:rRNA from 1 species